GGACGGGUGAGUAAUGCCUAGGAAUCUGCCCGAUAGUGGGGGACAACGUUUCGAAAGGAACGCUAAUACCGCAUACGUCCUACGGGAGAAAGUGGGGGAUCUUCGGACCUCACGCUAUCGGAUGAGCCUAGGUCGGAUUAGCUGGUUGGUGAGGUAACGGCUCACCAAGGCGACGAUCCGUAACUGGUCUGAGAGGAUGAUCAGUCACACUGGAACUGAGACACGGUCCAGACUCCUACGGGAGGCAGCAGUGGGGAAUAUUGGACAAUGGGCGAAAGCCUGAUCCAGCCAUGCCGCGUGUGUGAAGAAGGUCUUCGGAUUGUAAAGCACUUUAAGUCGGGAGGAAGGGCUGCAGGCCAAUACCUUGCAGUUUUGACGUUACCGACAGAAUAAGCACCGGCUAACUUCGUGCCAGCAGCCGCGGUAAUA
rnacentral:rRNA from 1 species